UACAGAGGUCCCAAGCGUUGUUCGGAUUCACUGGGCGUAAAGGGUGCGUAGGCGGUGAGGUAAGUUUGACGUGAAAUCUCCGGGCUCAACCCGGAACUGCGUUGAAUACUAUCUCGCUAGAGGAAUGGAGGGGAGACUGGAAUACUUGGUGUAGCAGUGAAAUGCGUAGAUAUCAAAGUGGAACACCAGUGGCGAAGGCGAGUCUCUGGACAUUUCCUGACGCUGAGGCACGAAAGCCAGGGGAGCAAACGGG
rnacentral:rRNA from 1 species